AUUUUGAGUCUUAGGGUUGGAAGAGGGAGGUGCGCGAGUGGACGACAAAGCGGAAGCGGCUCUCGCUCGCCAUUUAUCUGCCUGAUCAUCCAUGGCUUUCUUGAGUUUGUGGUGUUGUUCCAAUCGUCGUGAAUCUGGUGAAACUACUGUGAUCUCCCAUAGCAGAGUUUUCAGAGUGCGAAUCUUGCGGCGUUUCACAUUGCGCAUAUGCUCUUGGUGAUUUGGUUUUCACCGUCUUGUCUUAGAGAUGAACGAGAUAUUCUAUCUGGUUGGAUUUGAAUCUUAUGGGAACCGAUGGAUCGUGAAACCUGGCCAUCGCGUUGAGGCGUGUGUAAGGUUGAAGGUUUGGCGAUGCUUGCUCGUUAUCCCUCUGCAUGGGCUUGGUUGGUUGACAACGAGAGAGAGCACGCCGGUCCACAGUCCAUACCGGCUGUUAUGGUCUUGUACUAGCGUGCUCUUUCUCGUUGUCACCCGGUUUGCCUUGUCAAGCGUCUUUUUCUUCGCCUUGCCCGUGAGUUGAUGGAAAGGUUCAAAACAGUCUUAUCUUCGACAAUAAAUUAUGGAUGUCAUUGCCAUCAGUAAACUUAAAAAGCAGAAAAGCAUCCAUGUAUUCAAUGCAGAGUUGUAUCUAUGUCUGUCCAACAAACUAGCAAAAAUAAAGUCCCAGUUCUGCCCUUGGAAAUUGAGAAUGCUAAAGAGCUGCCUCUUAAUCUAUACAAGCCCAAGGAACCAUACACCACUGCAACGAUUGUCUCGGUUGAGAGGCUGGUGGCCCCAAAUGCACCUGGUGAGACUUGCCAUAUUGUGAUUGAUCAUGAGCUAUGGUGUUAUCAUGAGACUAUUAGAAAAGCCUGUUAAAUAUUCUUUCAAGCCUUCUGUAAGUAGAAUACAUUUCACAGUUAAAUGUUUGUCUUUGUUACAA